CAUUUUCAGCUGUUCUUGUCAAGACGAAAAGGGAGAAAAUGGGGCCACUGCUGCUUUUAGUCUGCAUGCUGGGAGCAACGCUCGCAGCUCCUGUCCCGGAAAGCGGAAGCAAUGAGCAGGUGGCAGCACAUGCUAAUGCUGCCCUGCAUUGGAUGGAGAUGUACCGGAGCUCCCUGCAGCUGGAAAAAGCCGCCGCAGCCCCCAAAGCAGCCGCCGCCGCCCCGCUGAACUCGGAGGAGGCUGGCGAGGACGGAGCCGAGGAGGAGGAAGCGGCAGAGGCGGCCGAAGAGGAACCCGCGGCCGAGGCAGAACCCGCGGCCGAGGCAGAACCCGCGGCCGAGGCAGAACCCGCGGCCGAGGCAGAACCUGCGGCCGAACCCGCGGCCGAAGGGGCUACUGAAGCUGUUGCCGAGCCUGCUGCCGAAGCUGCCGCUGUCGACCCGGCCGUAGUGGAGGCCCCUGCUGCGGAGGUAGUCCCAGCCGACGCCACUCCCGUGGUGGAGGCGGCCGCGGUGGAGGCUCCAGCGGUGGAGGCUCCCGCGGUGGAGGCUGCAGCGGUGGAGGUUCCCGCCGCGGAGGCUGCCGCGGUCGAGGCUCAAGUGGUCGAGGCUGCAGCGGUGGAGGCUGCCGUGGUAGCGGUGGAAGCGGUGCCAGAGCUGGUGGUACUAGCGGGUCCCGUGGAGGUCCAGGCUGGGACAGCGUAAUCGCCCCAGUUUGUCACCUCAAUUUCUCUCCUACUGACCUGAGUAUUAUGUCUCAGUAGGCCUAGGUCAUGUUAAUAUACUGACGGCGGCAGAUUUUUUGUCAUUUUGCCGGAUCAUUGGACAGAUCACAGGCCGCAUAUGGUCAGCCCAGACUGAUGUUAUUUUUCUUAUGUCAUUUACUUGAUGAUGUUUGUGAUGAUCUGUGAAAAUAAAUAUGUGGUGGUUGAAUUCAUCCACUCAUCAGGUUUAUUGUAUUACACUUAAAACGGAUCAAAUUGAUUAAAAGGUAACCAUUUACAAUAAGGGUACAAUAAUGAACUAUCAAUCUAAAUUAGUUAAUGCGAUUAUAAGCAUUAUCUAACAAUAACAAGAAGAUAAUUAACUUCUUAACGAAUAAUGGUGUAGUAGUCAUUACUUGUUAACUAAGUCAGUUUUUGAUUUAUACUUUUUCUAAUAGCACACAAAUUAAGAUAUUUGUUGUAUUAUAUUGAAUGAUUACUAGACCAUAAAUUAACUGUAAAUAAGCCCUUAGUUCACAUCACUCAUGGUUAACCUCUUUACCCUUAUUGUAAAGUGUUACCGAAUAACAGAUUACUACAGUUGAUCUUUUAGCAAUCCUUAAACAAUCAUAUUUCCAUAUCAAACCUAUAGUUAACCUAUCAUAAAAUAUAUACUAUAGCCUACAUUGCAUUUCCGUUAUUAGUCGUCGGCUCUGCUGUUUGGAUGCGAAUUGUCCAUCACCCACAGAACACUGCAGCCAAAGGAUCUUCCCAUGGGAUCGCAGAUUCAUCUAACAUGCAGUAGAUGUAGGCUACCAUUGUAACAAUCAAGCUCAGAUCUACAGAUGGGAUGGUUCGGACAGUCAUUUAUCACCACAUAUAAAUGCACAAGGGAUCGUGUGGCUCCAGUAGGACAGCAUUAGCAGCAGAACCGGUACACUCCCGGUGGAUUUGCUACAGCUUUAAUAGGAUAUAGAGGGGAUAGGCUAGAGUGCUGAGUAAGCACUUAACCAGCCAGGGAGGACUGAAGCGCUUAGAAUCCCUCCAAUAUAUAUUGGACAUAAUGCCCCCCCCCCCCCCCCCCCCCCUUAUGGGGAAUACAAACCACCUUACAUUAAGGAUCAGAGCUCUGUUUCAUAUUUCGUGUUUUGUUCUUUUUUUUUUUCUUUUACAUUCCUGGAUAACAAGUAAAUCCAGGAGAGUGCAAUUUUCUCCCUGAAGUAAAAAAAACAUAGCUAGUCACUUUUUUGCGGUUUCUUAUUGAUUGUGAAGUGUCUGAUAGUUGUCUGUAGUUGUGAUAUAUGAUGAUUACUCGUGUUCUCUGUAAAAAAUGUGUGAAAGAAAGGAGUGUGGAUGAAUGGUGGCCUCAUCCACUUUCAUCCUUCUCUAAUCCCCCUCGAUCCUCCUCAGGGUCACUCACAACUUAGUCUCCUUCCUGGGACUCUACGCUGCGUUUAAUUGUGCGGCUGCUCACCAAUACAUUCAUAUUAUGAUCAAUUCAACCUUCUGUGCUCCAAAGAUCAAACAAAACAUGGACUCAUCGCUCUAGAUUAGCUUGGUGGGAAAG
ensembl:lncRNA